rnacentral:lncRNA from 1 species
CCAGCUUUUGUUUCAUCAAAAGCCUUCAAUUCUUGCAUUCUGUCAUAUUCUUGGGCACCUGAGGCAUCCAUUGCUGCUGCCAUUAGAUGCAAAUUAUAGGUGGAUGGCCACUGUUUGAUCCUUGCACUAUAUAUCAAGAAGGUAUUGACUUAAACUGUAUAAUUCUUUAUACUGAAANUAUAGGUGGAUGGCCACUGUUUGAUCCUUGCACUAUAUAUCAAGAAGGUAUUGACUUAAACUGUAUAAUUCUUUAUACUGAAACUGGAUCUAUAUUGUAACAGGUGGGGAUUUCUUAAUGGAAAUAAUAUUGCAUAAUUCAACAACUAGAAAUUAACAAUUCUUGACAUUAUAAAAUCGUGUAUUAAAAGUUUAAAUAGAAAUAAGUUCGCUUAGUUCGUCAAUUUAUAUUAAUUUCCGAAUUGAUGAGAACAGUUGACUUUUUUUGUUUGCUUUGUCUCAAUUGGCACAUGUGCGUCGUGGAAUAAAAUUAUAUUUUAGGAGGUUUAUCUUGGAAGGCUACAUUUAGGGAGGGGGAGGAAAUUCUAUAUAAUAAUUUACAUUUGAAUUGCAAAUUUUCUAAUUGUAAUAAUCCGUGUCUGUCAUGAAAUCACAUCAUUAACACUCCUGAUUUAACAUAUUGUACAUUUUAAUAUUAAAUUCGAUAAGACAUUAUUAUAUUUUGGUUGUAUGAACAAGAUAGCUCGAAGAAAUUACUUCACAUGAUUUAAAUUAAACAUUAUUAAAAAGAAAAUAAGAUAGUGAUUAUUAAUUUGAAAAUGGAAUAUAUGUUAUCGUGACGAACAUGGUG